UGUGGGAGCGGGCUUGCUCGCGAACGCGGUGUAUCAGUUAAUGCAUGUAUCGACUGACCCACUGCAUUCGCGAGCAAGCCCGCUCCCACA
rnacentral:misc_RNA from 1 species